AGCAGCUAAAGGAAGCGGCUCUUUCAUCUGCUUCCUUUGCUUUCUUGUAUUCUGUGGCGCCAAAAUUCAAACACUAUUCGUGCUCGCAAAAUGUACUCACAGUCACAGGAGCUCCUCCGAGACUACCAUGAAAAUGAAGAAGAAGAAGCUUCGAAUUGUCUCCGACAACGUGCUCACAGAGCCAUACACGCUCUUCCUCCGAAUCAAGCAAGGCGGCUGCAUCUGCUUCCCCAACCUCAUCUCCCACCGUUCACGUGUCCUACGCCCUCUCUCAGCUCUCUCAGGCCAUCUCCUCCCCUUCCUCCGCUCUCUCCUCGCCUUCCAUCCUCACUUCCUCGUCUCGCUUCUCGUCCAUGCUCUCUCUUCCUUCGACGACGACCCCAACGCACGACAAGUCGUCCAUCUCAUUUCCGCUCUCUGCGAUUCAGCCGCUGCCUCGCUCUCUGCUGACUUCGUCGCUAGGGUUUCCGACCGCCUCUCUUCUGGUGCCUUGGCCUGGAGUCGCCGUCAUCUUUAUACGCUUCACUGCUUAGGGGUUUUGUUAAACUGCUAGCAGAAUAAUCCUUACGCUCACAUUAGAGACAAAUAUGGCCUCAUUACCAAUCUUGUUGAAGGUCUUCAAUUACCAAGGUAAGAGAUUCAGGGAGAAAUCCUGUUUGUUCUAUAUAAGGUAUCUGUUCUCCAAUAUGCAUGAGAGGUUGGUGUUGGAAUUGAAUUUUUAUUUGCCUUUUGCCCCAAGCUAUUGUGCUUGUCUCUAGAGGCCCUCAUGAAGACCCAAAGCGAUGAUGUUCGCUUGAAUUGUGUAGGUCAGUAUUCCACUUCUUGAAAUCUUUAUUGUUGUGCCUUGUAAGUUGGGUCCAUUUUCCCUAUAGCACAGCUCAGCAAUAUAUGACUAGCAUGGAAUUGAUCCUGACACCUGUUGAGGAAACAAUUAUAAUUUUAAACCUCUCAGGUAAUAUAUAACUCUUUGGGGGAAGUGAUCCUGACACAGCAUGGAAUCCUCCCCAUUUUACAAACACAUUUCCUCAUUGGUAUCAGUCCUGUCUUCUCUCAACUAACAAUUUCCAUAUCACUUGUCCAGCGUUCUUGACAAUGUUGGCUCAGAGAGGACUUUUCGGGGCUGCAUAUGCAGUUGAUUUAAACAGUAAUGGUUCAUCCAAAGGUGGUUCAGUUUGUCGUUUGGAUGCCUAGGCUUCUUUCCCACAGAAAAGAUGAAAUGGAGUGUGUAUCAGAUGCUCGGUUCACUAGUAGGUGUUCUUAUGGGAAAUGAUUCUGAGCAACCUAUUAGAUGCUACUCUAUGUCUCCCAUCUGACCCCAUUGAUUUUCUCAUUCUACUUGAGCAAAAGAACUCCUGUAAUUUAGAAUUAUCUUCUUGCCAAUCUGCCAUUUCGCUG